rnacentral:tRNA from 1 species
GGGGCCGUAGCUCAGUUGGGAGAGCGCCUGGAUCGCACCCAGGAGGUCAGGGGUUCAAGUCCCCUCGGCUCCA